rnacentral:misc_RNA from 1 species
ACAAACUUGGUCAUUUAGAGGAAGUAAAAGUCGUAACAAGGUUUCCGUAGGUGAACCUGCGGAAGGAUCAUUAUUGAAUAAACCUGAUGAGUUGUAGCUGGCUUCUAGAAGCAUGUGCACACUUGUCAUCUUUAUCUAUCAUCCACCUGUGCACCUUUUGUAGUCUUGUGAAAUGUGAGCGGCAAAAUCUCGAGUUGACGCUUCGGAUGUGGGGAAUGUCGCGCAAAAAUGCAUGGCUCUCUCCAAUAUGCCUGUGACCAUUUCUUGGACUAUGUCUUUUCAUAUACCAUGUAGUAUGUUGCAGAAUGUAUCAAUUGGGACUUUGUGCCUAUAAAACUCAGUACAACUUUCAGCAACGGAUCUCUUGGCUCUCGCAUCGAUGAAGAACGCAGC